UCUUUACAAUCAACCUCCCACACCUUUUUUUGAGAUAGAGUCUUGCUCUGUCGCCCACGCUGGAGUGCAGUGGCAUGAUUUUGGCUCACUGCAACUUCCACCUCCUGGGUUCAAGCAAUUCUUCUGCCUCAGCCUCCCCAAGUAGCUGGGAUUACAGGCUCCCGCCACCACACCUGGCUAAUUUUUGUGUUUUUAGUAGAGAUGGGGUUUCACCAUGUUGGCCAAGCCUGUCUCAAACUGCUGACCUCAGGUGAUCCUCCCGCCUCAACCUCCCAAAGUGCUGGGAUUACAGGCAUGAGCCAACGCGCCUGGCAUAGAUUCCAGUUCUUAGUGGGUGUGUGAUUACCGAAAAGAUGUUUUAGGAACACCUUUUUUUUGUAGCUCCAGUUUAAAGGAACACUAUUCUUGGGUGGAAAAAAAUUAGCAAAUACACGUAGAUUAACAUUUUAGGGAGUUUCCAAUCUGUUAAAAGCUUAAGGAUCAAAUUCAGGUUUCUUACAUAGAAUACAUUUGGCUUUUUAUAUGGGAAUAUUUCUUUUAAUCAUUUUUGAGAACCAGAAGUUUCCCAGUAUUUCAGCAUUUUUAGUUUAUUUUGCUGAGUGAGUGGAUUUACUGAAUUUAUACAGUUUAUUUCUCAAACACUUGUAUCUCAUAACCAUUCAUGACGUUUAUAGCUAUUUCUAUCUGGCAGAAUGGUUUUAAAAGCACAUGGACUGUUGUGAAUAGUUUUGGGUGGCAUUUUGUCCUCAAGUCAGCAUUUUGAGGAAUGUGGAGUCGUCUCUGCUCCACUCCCUGCUGCUGUGACUGAGGCGGCUGGUGCUGAGAACACGGCCCACAGUGCUGUCUGGGCUGCCAGGCCUGAUGGGGAGUGGAGUGUGCGUGCCCCAGAACUUUCUGUCUUCUGAGGCCCUGUUACAAACUGUAUAAGUAGCUUAACUGGUUUUUUUCAAUAAUUGCCCUUCAGACAUUAGGAAAGUUUCCUUGAUAUUUGGCUAACUUUUCUUUCAAGUUACUUAAGUCCUGAAAUGGAUUAGGAGCUCUGUGCCCUCACAUCAGCUGUUGGCCUUGUAAGUCACACCUUUGCUUUGGAGUCUGCUGAUUAUCUGCUAUUUGACAGUCUGAGCGCUUUCUGAGCUAAAACCCAGGUACCUCCUGGGUGGGCGUGAUUAUAGAUAUUCCAACUUUUCUUAAGAUUCUGGCAGGAUUUUUUUUGUGUGUCCCCCCUACUGUCUUUGAAUGGAAUGAGUCCAUGCUGUCUCCAGAGGAGAUGAGAAGGGGUUGGCCUUUACUGGCAGCUACACAGAAGAUGGAUUUUUCUUCAUUAUUGUAGAGUCAGUGCUGUGAAAUCCCUAAUUUGGGCUAACUUAGGCUGAGUUUACUGAAGUUAAACCUCUUAAGUAUGUUCUGAAUACAUAGCCACAUGCCGGAGUUAGUCCCCAUGUGCCUUGAAGGUAGGAGUUGAGAAAACAAAAGAGCCCUUUACCCAUUAGGGCACAGAAGGAGCUGUGCUGGGCCUCCCGGUAGCCCCAGCUACCAGACAAUUCUUGAGGUCGGGGUGCAUGCUCCCCUGGGGUUCCUGGGUUUGCACCUCUAUUUCCUUUCCUCUCUCCCUGGAGCCCACAUCCCACACUGCCUCUCCUCGCUUCAUGCACAUGGCCUGUGUUUCAAUGCCAUCCACAUGCAGAGCCACCUCUCUGAGACUGCUUGUUUCCAAACACAAAGUCCUUGGCAUCUCCUAAAACUUCCCUUCAUGUGGCUUCCCACCGGAGCCCCACCUCUCCGUCAGUGGAAGCUCAUACCUCACCACCCCCAUCCCAUCCAUCACCAAGCUCUGGCAAUUUUACUUCCCAGCUGUUCCCUGAAUCCUGCCGUUUCCCUGCCAAAUCAUUUGAUGUUGAUUCGGGCCCCUCUCAGUGCUGCAGAGCCCUCCUAAGAGAACUUCUCCUACUUCUCUUAGCCCCACACCCAGCCUGCCUUGGUUGGAGGAGAAGGAAGCGCAAACGCAGAUACUACCUGCAUGGUCCUGCCAGGAGGCCCCACCCUGGCCCUGGGGCCUUCUGUUUGCCUGUCACUCGCUGUCGAUGCUACCUUCUCUCACCAGUGCUUUGGGUCCUUCCCCGCACAGGGCCCAGCAUAGCCCUUCUCUUCCACCUAGCAGAUUCCAGCACAUUCUUUUCUUUUUUUUUUUUUUUUUUUGUCUUGAGACGGAGUCUCAGUUGUUGCCCAUGUUAGAGUGCCGUGGCAUGAUGUCAGCUCACUGCAACCUCCUCCUUCUGGGUCCAAGAGAUUGUUUUGCCUCAGCCUCCCGAGUAGCUGCGAUUACAGGCACACGCCACCAUGCCUGGCUAAUUUUUGUAUUUUUAGUAGAGAUGGGGUUUCACCAUGUUAGCCAGGCUGGUCUCGAACUCCUGACAUUGUGAUCCACCUGCCUGGCUUCCCAAAGCACUGGGAUUACAGGCAUGAGCCUCCGCAUCUGGCCUCCAGCACAUUCUUUAGCUCUUGACUUGGAUGACUCUUGACCUGGGAGGCUGCCUCGACACGUGGAGAUUGGUGUCUCCUGUUAGUUUCUAUGCCUCUUUUCCUCAUGAAACAUUAGUCAUGAUGGUAUUUCUGUGAUUUUUUUUUUUUUUUUUUUUUUUUUUUUGAGAUGGAGUUUCCCUCUUGUUACCCAGGCUGCUGUGCAGUGGCACGAUCUCCGCUCACUGCAGCCUCUGCCUCCCGGGUUCACACCAUUCUCCUGCCUCAGCCUCCCGAGUAGCUGGGACUGCAGGCACCUGCCACCUCGCCCAGCUGAUUUAUUGUCUUUUUAGUAGAGACAGUUUCACCAUGUUAGCCAGGAUAGUCUCAAUCUCCUGACCUCGUGAUCCGCCCGCCUCAGCUUCCCAAAGUGCUGGGAUUACAGGAGUGAGCCACCAUCCCCGGCCCUGUUUCUGUGAUUAUCUUGCAUUGUCAUUGUCCCCCCAGGCCUGUCUCUUUCACUGUGGCAUGCAUUGUCUAGGGUAGAUGCUUGUUAGAUAUUUUAUGACUUGCUCUCUUUUUCAACAGGACAAAUUGAUGGCCAGGAGAUCACUGCCACCGCCGUGCUGGCCCCCUGGCCUAGGCCACCCCCCAGGAGAUUCAGCCCUCCCAGGAGAAUGUUGCCACCACCGCCUAUGUGGCGCAGGUCUCCCCCACGGAUGAGGAGAAGGUCCCGCUCCCCGAGGCGCAGGUCCCCCGUGCGCCGGAGAUCACGGUCCCCGGGCCGCCGCCGCCACAGGAGUCGCUCCAGCUCCAACUCCUCCCGAUAAACAGGCCACUGAAGUUCUCGCCCCUGUAACUUAUACCCCACCCAACUCAGUUUUGUCACUUUUCU
rnacentral:sRNA from 1 species